CCUACGGGAGGCAGCAGUGAGGAAUAUUGGUCAAUGGCCGGAAGGCUGAACCAGCCAUGCCGCGUGAAGGUCAGUGCCCUAUGGGCGUUAAACUUCUUUUGUCCGGGAGCAAUAAUGGUCACGUGUGGCCAGACGAGAGUACCGUCCGAAUACGGAUCGGCUCACUCCGUGCCAGCAGCCGCGGUAAUACGGAGGAUCCGAGCGUUAUCCGGAUUUAUUGGGUUUAAAGGGAGCGUAGAUGGGUUGUUAAGUCAGUUGUGAAAGUUUGCGGCUCAACCGUAAAAUUGCAAUUGAUACUGGCAGUCUGGAGUACAGUUGAGGUAGGCGGAAUUCGUGGUGUAGCGGUGAAAUGCUUAGAUAUCACGAAGAACCCCGAUUGCGAAGGCAGCUUACUAAACUGUGACUGACAUUGAUGCUCGAAAGUGUGGGUAUCAAACAGGAUUAGAUACCCUAGUAGUC
rnacentral:rRNA from 1 species